rnacentral:lncRNA from 1 species
UUUUUUUUUUUUCCUCAGCCUCUUCCAGAUGUUCAUUAACUACUGUUGCCUCCAUUUAUCUAAGUUGGCACACAGAAGAAGACUGAGGUGAAAUCUUCGGGGGUCCACGAAGUGUUUGUAGUGGCCGGUUUCGUGGCAUAGUGAUCAUUAUAACAGUGAUUCAUUUCACCAAGUAUUAAGCACCUACUCUUUCCCGUAGGCCUGGCUAGGCCUAGAGAUGGAGGAAAACGUCAAAGUAAUGGAAUACAAUAUCCUUGUCUUUGAGUAGAAGAUACAAGGCUCAGAAUGACUAAGAAACAUACAGCUAGUGAGUGGUACAGGCUGGAUCUGGACCCAGAUGUGUCUCGCUCCAGAAUCCAUGCUUCUUCCACUCUGUCUCUGAAUUGGGAAUCAAAAGAUCUGCCAGAAGCUAAAAGAGCAAAUGUGUGAUUGAAAAACCAAUGACUGCUCUAAACUCACCUAAAGAGUCAGUGAGAAGGGAGAAUGUUUAACAGUGAAGCGCAGAAAAGGGCAGGGUCUGAGGAGCAGAACUGGGAGA